rnacentral:rRNA from 1 species
UUGUCGCGUCGUCUGUGAAAUUUUGCAACUCAAUUGUAGGCGUGCAGGCGAUACGGGCAGACUUGAGUACUACAGGGGAGACUGGAAUUCCUGGUGUAGCGGUGAAAUGCGCAGAUAUCAGGAGGAACACCGGUGGCGAAGGCGGGUCUCUGGGUAGUAACUGACGCUGAGGAGCGAAAGCGUGGGUAGCGAACAGGAUUAGAUACCCUGGUAGUCCGCGCCGUAAACGGUGGGUACUAGGUGUGGGGCUCAUUUCACGAGUUCCGUGCCGUAGCUAACGCAUUAAGUACCCCGCCUGGGGAGUACGGCCGCAAGGCUAAAACUCAAAGGAAUUGACGGGGGCCCGCACAAGCGGCGGAGCAUGUGGAUUAAUUCGAUGCAACGCGAAGAACCUUACCUGGGUUUGACAUACACCAGACGCAUGUAGAGAUACAUGUUCCCUUGUGGUUGGUGUACAGGUGGUGCAUGGCUGUCGUCAGCUCGUGUCGUGAGAUGUUGGGUUAAGUCCCGCAACGAGCGCAACCCUUGUCCUGUAUUGCCAGCGGGUUAUGCCGGGGACUUGCAGGAGACUGCCGGGGUCAACUCGGAGGAAGGUGGGGAUGACGUCAAGUCAUCAUGCCCCUUAUGUCCAGGGCUUCACACAUGCUACAAUGGCUGGUACAGAGGGCUGCGAUACCGUGAGGUGGAGCGAAUCCCUUAAAGCCAGUCUCAGUUCGGAUUGGGGUCUGCAACUCGACCCCAUGAAGUCGGAGUCGCUAGUAAUCGCAGAUCAGCAACGCUGCGGUGAAUACGUUCCCGGGCCUUGUACACACCGCCCGUCACGUCAUGAAAGUCGGUAACACCCGAAGCCGGUGGCCUAACCCCUUGUGGGAGGGAGCUGCGAAGGUGGGAUCGGCGAUUGGGACGAAGUCGUAACAAGGUAAC